AGGCCCCAAGAAAGGCAGGAAGGAGGCUGGCCGAGCUCCCUGCAGCAGACCAGACCAUCCAGCACAGCCUUUGCAAGCUUUCUUUCAUGCAAAGGAGGAAGCCCAUGCAGCUAGUUCUUCCCCCACUUGCAGACUUCCAGACUGCAGAUCGGGAUCGUCUAGAAGCACGGUGGGGAAAAUGGAGGCAACUAUUAAACACUGAGCAAACAGACUGAGGAUGCAAAAUGCAAAACAGCAGCAACAUAUGAAGAAGCUCUUUGGGGAUAUUUCUGGCCUUAUAAACUUAACUAAAUCAGCAACCCUGCGGGGGCCCAAUCUGGAUUGGGACCAUGGCAUGGGAGAAGAGGGCUUUAACCCUUUCCCUCUCCAAUCUGGACUGCCCCCACCAUGCCCAUCAUUUCUCCUGGGCAAGACGCUUCCACUGGCACCAAGUCUGAAGUGGCAAGGAGCAGACUACACCGCAGAACUAAAAGUCAACAUCUUUAACGUAUCGGAUCCCUUUCCGUCAGAGAGGCACAAAAUAUAAGAAACCAAUAAAGGAAUAAUCCUGUUGCUAUAAAAUUGA